rnacentral:lncRNA from 1 species
UCAGCCACAAUAUAUCCUUCUUCCACCAGUGACUUUAGCUUGCAUAAUCUGGAAGGUCCUUGUUCCACACCAAACUGAUCGACAUAAUACCACUUUCCAAUGGUUCCUUCUGCUACAGUUGUAACAUGUGGUGGGGUAUUGCAUAUAUCCAUGUCUUCUUCCAUAGAUGCCGCCUCCUCAACAGCUCCACUUUCCUCUGAAGGCUCCAAGGCAUUCACUGCAGGACAUUGAGGCAAACCAUCAUUGUUUACUGGAUGGUUGCCACUUUUAACAAUUGAGCAGUUACUAUUUUCAGGACAGCUUCUAACCUCAGAAUCCUUAGCAAAUUGAUCUUUCAUACUGACAUCCUUUUGGCUGCUGAACUUUCCUUCAUGCUUUUUGCCUUCAAAAUGACUUUCCUUUUUAUCACUUGGUCCACUUUUCCGACCUGUGUCUCGAUGAUAAGUAGUCCUACUCCGAUCACGUGGGGACGGCUCCAUGAAGUUUGGUGUCCUGUCCCUCCUAUGAUGGUGGCGGCCUUGAUCUUGUGGGGACCACUCUGAAUAACUUGGGCUCCGGCUUCUAUGAUCAUAAUGACGACUCCGGUCAUAAGGAGACCUACUGUGAUCAAAGUUACGGCCUCGAUCAUAGGGAGACUUCUCACGGCGGGCUGGGCUUCGAUCCCAGUUAUCAAGAUGGCGGGCCCGGUCACGUGGGGACCUCUCCAAAUGACGAGGACUGCUAUUAAGUCUGUCAUAAGGAACUUUAGAUGUCUCAUAAUGCCUGGAAGAAUACCUGUCAGGUGGAAUGUUCCUAUUAGAAGGAGCAUUCUUGUGCAACUUCUCAGUAGAACGCCGCAAACUGUGAUCUGCUGUGUAUACAGCUCGACUUCCAUCAUCAGAAAGUUUCCUGCUUUUUGAACUUGAGAAGUCAUCAUACUCACCCCGGAACUUACGGUCAUUUUUAUCUGAAUCAGUACCAUGCCGUUUUAACCUAUUACCUGAGAAGUAUUCUCUUGCAGGAUUAUUGCCAUUUCUCAGUUCGCUCUUGGAAGGACCUUCUUCUCCAACAAUCUUGGAACUAAUCCUUGGGUUCCUUUCUGGAAUGCUAGGUUCAUAUCUAGAUAACCUCUUCAUAUGCUGAAUUCCACCACUUCUACCACCAUCUUUCUCCCCAGAAUGCUUACCUGAGGAAGGUGGUGUCCAUUCAUGGUCAUUUCUCCAUCCUUUGUCCUUGGCCGAAGGUGGCGUCCAUUCACGGUCAUUUCUCCAUCCUCUGUCCUUGGCCAAAGGUGGUGUCCAUUCAAGAUCAUUUCUCCACCCUUUGUCCUUGGCCAAAGGUGGUGUCCAUUCACGAUCAUUUCUCCAUCCUUUGUCCUUGACCGAAGGUGGCGUCCAUUCACGGUCAUUUCUCCAUCCUCUGUCCUUGGCCAAAGGUGGUGUCCAUUCAAGAUCAUUUCUCCCCCCUUUGUCCUUGGCCAAAGGUGGUGUCCAUUCAUGGUCAUUUCUCCAUCCUCUGUCCUUGGCCAAAGGUGGUGUCCAUUCAUGGUCAUUUCUCCAUCCUCUGUCCUUGGCCAAAGGUGGUGUCCAUUCAAGAUCAUUUCUCCCCCCUUUGUCCUUGGCCAAAGGUGGUGUCCAUUCAAGAUCAUUUCUCCCCCCUUUGUCCUUGGCCAAAGGUGGUGUCCAUUCAAGAUCAUUUCUCCACCCUUUGUCCUUGGCCAAAGGUGGUGUCCAUUCAAGAUCAUUUCUCCACCCUUUGUCCUUGGCCAAAGGUGGUGUCCAUUCAAGAUCAUUUCUCCCCCCUUUGUCCUUGGCCAAAGGUGGUGUCCAUUCAUGGUCAUUUCUCCAUCCUCUGUCCUUGGCCAAAGGUGGUGUCCAUUCAAGAUCAUUUCUCCCCCCUUUGUCCUUGGCCAAAGGUGGUGUCCAUUCAUGGUCAUUUCUCCAUCCUCUGUCCUUGGCCAAAGGUGGUGUCCAUUCACGAUCAAUUUCUCCAUCCUUUGUCCUUGACCGAAG